rnacentral:rRNA from 1 species
UACGUAGGGGGCAAGCGUUGUCCGGAAUCAUUGGGCGUAAAGAGCGUGUAGGCGGCCCGAUAAGUCCGCCGUGAAAGUCCAGGGCUCAACCGAGGAACUGCUUUUGAUACUGCCAAGCUAGAGUGCGGAAGGGGCAACUGGAAUUCCCAGUGUAGCGGUGAAAUGCGUAGAUAUCAGGAGGAACACCAAUGGCGAAGGCAGCACUCUGGGACGUGACUGACGCUGAGACGCGAAAGCGUGGGGAGCAAACAGG